rnacentral:rRNA from 1 species
UACGGAGGGUGCGAUCGUUAAUCGGAAUUACUGGGCGUAAAGCGCGCGUAGGCGGUUCGAUAAGUCAGAUGUGAAAUCCCCGGGCUCAACCUGGGAAUGGCAUUUGAUACUGUCAGACUAGAGUGUGGUAGAGGGAAGUGGAAUUCCGCAUGUAGCGGUGAAAUGCGUAGAUAUGCGGAGGAACACCAGUGGCGAAAGCGGCUUCCUGGACCAACACUGACGCUGAGGUGCGAAAGCGUGGGGAGCAAACAGG